UACGUAGGGUGCGAGCGUUAAUCGGAAUUACUGGGCGUAAAGUGUGCGCAGGCGGCCGCGCAAGUCGAGUGUGAAAGCCCCGGGCUUAACUUGGGAAUUGCGCUCGAAACUACGUGGCUAGAGUGUGGCAGAGGGAGGUGGAAUUCCACGUGUAGCGGUGAAAUGCGUAGAUAUGUGGAGGAACACCGAUGGCGAAGGCAGCCUCCUGGGCCAACACUGACGCUCAUGCACGAAAGCGUGGGGAGCAAACAGG
rnacentral:rRNA from 1 species